UCAGACGAUGCGUCAUGCAUAUCAAUAAGCGGAGGAAAAGAAACUAACAAGGAUUCCCUUAGUAACGGCGAGUGAAGCGGGAAGAGCUCAAUAUUUGAAAUCUUCAAGGUUUUACCUUGACGAAUUGUAGUUUAAAGAAGUGUUUUCUGUUGAAGUUUUGGUAAAAGUUCUUUGGAAUAGGACAUCAUAGAGGGUGAGAAUCCCGUAUUUGACCAUUAUUUUCAGCUGUGUGAUACACUUUCAAAGAGUCGGAGUUGUUUGGGAAUGCAGUCCAAAAUGGGUGGUAAAUUUCAUCUAAAGCUAAAUAUUGGCGAGAGACCGAUAGCGAACAAGUACCGUGAGGGAAAGAUGAAAAGAACUUUGAAAAGAGAGUUAAACAGUACGUGAAAUUGUCAAAAGGGAAGCGUUUGACACCAGUGUUGUUUUCUCGAAAAUCAGUUAAAAAGAGUUAGAUUUUGUUGUGUAUUGACCUUAACAGCUUGCAUUUCAAUUUUCUUGCUUUUUUUAAUGCACUUUUCGUUUAACAAGUCAACAUCAGUUUCUUUUGUUGUAAAAAGGUCAUUGGAAGGUGGCUUUCUUUUCGGAGAAAGUGUUUAUAGCCUUUGACUCCUGCAAUCGGAGAGACUGAGGUCUGCAGCGUAGAUCCUUCGGGGUUAGAUACAUUUGUGCUAAGUUAUAGCUUUUUAUAGACAACUUGUUGACUAUGAUUAGUCUUGUAGCUUACUCGCUUAUGCUAUUUUACCUACGCUUAGGAUGUUGAGUCGUAGAGCACGCAG
rnacentral:rRNA from 1 species